GAAGACUCAUAAAUAGUUGACUAAAAGCGGGCAACGGAGAGAGAGAAAACAGGAGGCGAUAGAGAUAACAGAUCGAAGAAGGCGAGAGAGAUUGAUCGAAGAAAGCUGGUAAUAGAGGGAUCAAUUUUCUUUCCCUAAUAACUUGAAGGAGGAACUCCACCUAUACGGAUGGAAAUUAAUCAAGUGGAAGCAGAUAGAAGAUCUCCUUGGAUUACUGGCACAAGGGACCUUACAUGAACAUCACUUUUACCAGGAACUCCCCGUUAUGACUUCCAGAUAUACCCACCUCAUCCCCAACCAGUAAUAUACCCACUCCGUCACAGUAAAAUGUUAAUGAACAAUCCUUAAACAGAAUACUUAGUUCUGCUGUUUACCUCCACUCUCUCUGCUAACUCUAGUUUUGGAAAUCUUGCAGCUAAGUCCUGGUAUUUGAUAUGAUGUGUGGUUUAUAAUUUGAUUUUACUAGAUAUGGCCUUAUCUUUUUGAGAAGGUGAAACUUGGAGGCAUAAAUGUUAUUCAGACUUAUAUUUUUUGCGACAUAUAUAUGAAUCAAAUUUUCAUCUUUUGCAUCCACAGUUUAGGCAAAGUUGAAGUAUAUAAAGUAAACACAGGCCAUGUUUAUUUGAAAGAUAAAUUCUAUAUAAGCAGAUGUGAUCCUAUGGCCAUAUAAUUCAGAUGUUCCGAGCGAGCUUAACAUGAAAAAUAAAGAACUCUGGUGUUUAGAUCCCUCCAAACAAACAUGGUCAUACCCAUAUGUAGGAUUUGAACGUCAUAGUUCUUUACUUUUCCCGGCAAGCUCUCUCUUGGAACAUCUGAUAUUCCAAUAAAGCUAAUGAAUAUUUUCUUAGUUCUUAUAAUUCUUAUAUCGUGUCAUUUCAACAAAAUAACUGUGAUACUUAUGUACUAGAUCACCCAUGGCUUCGAGAGGGUGGCGAAGCAUUGGACAAGUCAGCAAACAGUGCGGUUCUUUCUAGGAUGAGGCAGUUCAGAGCUAUGAACAAGAUCAAGAAGCUUGCACUCAAGGCUGAUGUCGAUAGUAACGGGACAAUCGAUUACAUGGAAUUUAUAGCUGCGAUGAUACAUCGAUACACACUGGAGAGGGAUGAACAUCUCUACAAGGCAUUCGAGCAUUUUGACACAGACAACAGUGGAUACCAUUAAAGAAAUAUUGUCUGAAGUUGACUCAGAUAAUGAAGACCAUGUAAUGGUGCUGAUGUGCUACCAGAUUUGGUUGGGGCUUUGAAGCUUUUGUCUCAAAAGCAAUAACGCUCUGUAGACCUAUAUGAACUUGCACAAUCCACCGAAAUUGUUGUUGAGGAACUUGCCCUGCACCAGGCUCUUAACAAUCUAAUUGAGGGCGUUUUGUUGAUUUCCAGAGAUGCCCCAGCACAUUGUGCUCUUGGAAUAAUCAAUGACAAUGGGCUUGAUAUGUCAAGUCUUUUGUUACUUAUUUUUUGUUGAUCAAAACUUUGGUAUAAUAAUAUAGUGGUGUAUUUUAUUUAACAUUCUAGACUUAGGAUUGUUACUGCUCUUGGUUGCGGUUGUGUAGGCAUGGUUAGAUUUGUGAUGGGUAACAUUCUUACCUUUUUUAAGAUGUUCUUGUAAUGAACAUUUAAUGGCAGAUUAAUAUAGUUUCGAAAUAGUCA